GGUAAGAUGGCUGAGACCCAAAGCGGCGGAUUGUAGCCCCGUAGAGGGAGGUUCGAGUCCUCCUCUUACUA
rnacentral:tRNA from 1 species